rnacentral:rRNA from 1 species
GGGAUUUUUUGGAAAGGGGGAAAAUUUUUCCCAACAACCCGCGUGAGGGAAAAAAGUUUUUGGAUUGUAAAAAUUUUUUUUUUAGGAAGAACAAGGAGGAGGGUACCCUCUUCAUCCCCUUGCCGGUAUUUUACCAAAAAAACCCCGGGUAAAUACGUGCCAGCAACCGCGGUAAUAACGUAGGUGCCAAACGUUGUCCCGGAUUUAUUUGGCGUAAAACGAGGGCAGGCGGUUUUUUAAGUCUGAUGUGAAAACCCCCGGCUCAACCGGGGAGGGUCAUUGGAAACUGGGAGACUUGAGUGCAGAAGAGGAGAGUGGAAUUCCAUGUGUAGCGGUGAAAUGCGUAGAUAUAUGGAGGAACACCAGUGGCGAAGGCGGCUCUCUGGUCUGUAACUGACGCUGAGGCUCGAAAGCGUGGGGAGCAAACAGGAUUAGAUACCCUGGUAGUCCACGCCGUAAACGAUGAGUGCUAAGUGUUGGAGGGUUUCCGCCCUUCAGUGCUGCAGCUAACGCAUUAAGCACUCCGCCUGGGGAGUACGACCGCAAGGUUGAAACUCAAAGGAAUUGACGGGGGCCCGCACAAGCGGUGGAGCAUGUGGUUUAAUUCGAAGCAACGCGAAGAACCUUACCAGGUCUUGACAUCCUUUGACCACUCUAGAGAUAGAGCUUCCCCUUCGGGGGCAAAGUGACAGGUGGUGCAUGGUUGUCGUCAGCUCGUGUCGUGAGAUGUUGGGUUAAGUCCCGCAACGAGCGCAACCCUUAUUGUUAGUUGCCAUCAUUCAGUUGGGCACUCUAGCAAGACUGCCGGUGACAAACCGGAGGAAGGUGGGGAUGACGUCAAAUCAUCAUGCCCCUUAUGACCUGGGCUACACACGUGCUACAAUGGGGAAGUACAACGAGUUGCGAAGUCGCGAGGCUAAGCUAAUCUCUUAAAGCUUCUCUCAGUUCGGAUUGCAGGCUGCAACUCGCCUGCAUGAAUCCGGAAUCGGCUAGUAAUCGCGGAUCAGCACGCCGCGGUGAAUACGGUUCGCCGGGCCGUUGUACACACCGCGCGUCACACCACGAGAGUUUGUAACACCCGAAGUCGGUGAGGUAACCUUUUGGAGCCAGCCGCCUAAAGUGGGAAUAGGUGAUGGGGGUGAAGUCGUACAGGGU